CCCCGGUAAACGGCGGCCGUAACUAUAACGGUCCUAAGGUAGCGAAAUUCCUUGUCGGGUAAGUUCCGACCUGCACGAAUGGCGUAAUGAUGGCCAGGCUGUCUCCACCCGAGACUCAGUGAAAUUGAACUCGCUGUGAAGAUGCAGUGUACCCGCGGCAAGACGGAAAGACCCCGUGAACCUUUACUAUAGCUUGACACUGAACAUUGAGCCUUGAUGUGUAGGAUAGGUGGGAGGCUUUGAAGUGUGGACGCCAGUCUGCAUGGAGCCGACCUUGAAAUACCACCCUUUAAUGUUUGAUGUUCUAACGUGGACCCGUAAUCCGGGUUGCGGACAGUGUCUGGUGGGUAGUUUGACUGGGGCGGUCUCCUCCUAAAGAGUAACGGAGGAGCACGAAGGUUGGCUAAUCCUGGUCGGACAUCAGGAGGUUAGUGCAAUGGCAUAAGCCAGCUUGACUGCGAGCGUGACGGCGCGAGCAGGUGCGAAAGCAGGUCAUAGUGAUCCGGUGGUUCUGAAUGGAAGGGCCAUCGCUCAACGGAUAAAAGGUACUCCGGGGAUAACAGGCUGAUACCGCCCAAGAGUUCAUAUCGACGGCGGUGUUUGGCACCUCGAUGUCGGCUCAUCACAUCCUGGGGCUGAAGUAGGUCCCAAGGGUAUGGCUGUUCGCCAUUUAAAGUGGUACGCGAGCUGGGUUUAGAACGUCGUGAGACAGUUCGGUCCCUAUCUGCCGUGGGCGCUGGAGAACUGAGGGGGGCUGCUCCUAGUACGAGAGGACCGGAGUGGACGCAUCACUGGUGUUCGGGUUGUCAUGCCAAUGGCACUGCCCGGUAGCUAAAUGCGGAAGAGAUAAGUGCUGAAAGCAUCUAAGCACGAAACUUGCCCCGAGAUGAGUUCUCCCUGAGACUU
rnacentral:rRNA from 4 species